rnacentral:rRNA from 1 species
AGCAUAUCAGUAAGCGGAGGAAAAGAAACUAACCAGGAUUCCCCCAGUAACGGCGAGUGAACGGGGAUUAGCCCAGCAUCGAAGCCUAUGGUCGUUUGACUGUAAGGCAAUGUGAUGUUAUGGAUCUUGCCUAGGGUCACUGGUCAACUCGAAGUCCAAUAUUGAAUGUGGCUUUUGUAUAUGGCCCAGAGCGGGUGAUAGGCCCGUGCGAGUUGACUGUUAGUGGUGUUGAGUGGCCUCUAGAUGCAAUGAUCUUUGGAGUCGGAUUGCUUGAGAAUGCAGUCCAAAGUUGGUGGUAAACUCCAUCAAAGGCUAAAUACUGGCACGAGUCCGAUAGCAAACAAGUACCGUGAGGGAAAGUUGAAAAGUACUCUGAAGAGAGAGUAAAUAGUACGUGAAACCACAUGAAGGUAAGCGGGUGGAGUCCAGCUGCUUGCUUUGAGGAUUUAGCCAGCCUGUGCAUAAUGGGUGUUGUGAACUGCCAUACUUUGGUUCGUCAUUAAAAGACGAGUUAAGCUUUGCUUAAUCCAUGUGCUUUCUUGUAGAGAGUGUGGGCCAUGUAUGUAUUGGUGUGUGUGUUCGCAGGUUGGUGUCAUUCCUCAUUGCUAACAUCACAGUCAAUAUUGCUGCUAGUGUAUGAUGCGUCAAACUGACAAAUGGUGAGCCUUGAAGUUCAUCUUUGCCGGGAUGGCAGGUGGUGUGCUUGUGUAUGCGCUUUUAGUGUAUAUUCAUGCAUGCUUAAACAUGGCUACGGCCAGCCGACCAUCAUGUUGUUAUGAUUACAUUAAACUAUGCAGUAUAUUGGUUAUAGUAUGUGCAAUUGCGCGAUCAGUUGUUCAUGUGUCCGAUUCUUGCUCGUGUUGGGUUAUGUGUAACAGCGUGCCCGGUGUGAUGCUUGGUCGUGUAUGUGGGCAAUGAAGUCGUACAGUACGUGUAAACUGUGGUGCUGUGGUAGACGUUCCACCUGACCCGUCU